rnacentral:lncRNA from 1 species
CCGGAACUAACUAGAUUUAGGGCAUAAAAAUGGCAGACUCCCCCUACCCCCAAGCCGUCUCUCCCAUAACCCUAAUAGAUGUCGGUGUAACACUACAACCCUCCGACAUUCGCCGCCGGCCGGAAAUCGCCUCCACCGGUGGCGAUGCUUUGAUGGCCCCCAAAAUUACACCACCCCAUCUCCUUGACCUCGUCUUUCCAUUUCUGUAACUGGCAUCCCUCGAAUAUUGGCCAGCGUCGUCGAAUGUUCCUUUGAAUUGACGACUACUCCGCCACCCACGGCGGCUCUGGUGUCAAUCUCCUCCAAACUAUCACCCUAUAUUCUCCUAACCUCUCUCAUCCUAAAUCUGUAAGUCAUAACCCUCGAAUGUUAGCUAUGCUCCUCGAAUUUCAAUUUUAAAACCAUGUCAAAAUCCCACCAUCUUCCAAACCCUUCAAAAAUUGUACUCUAUGGUCUCAUCAUCACCUUCAUCUCGAUUUCCAAACAAAAACCCAUCAAAUACAAGUGAAAUCCCAUAAUUUUUAGAUCUAGGGUUUGUGUUAGGAGAAGUCCGCCUUGCCGAGAUUUUCAUGUGUUCGAUUGAUAUUCAAGUUAUAUAUGUGUUCAUUUUGGCAAAAUGAAAAUAUAAUAUUAGCUGGAGAUCAACCCCAAAGUCAAUUCAAGUUGCGACUAAAUCGGUAAGUCCGGAUCAUUUUUCUUCCUUUACUUGAUUUUGCUUUCUAUUUGCAUAUUUUCUUUUGUUCAUCCAUUUGCAUGGUUUAAAUUGGAGUUUUUCAAUCUAUGUCUCUGAUUUUGACAUACUCAAAUGAUGUUAAUAGAUUUAGAAUUUUUAGGGUUUUGAUUGAUUUUUGUUCUGUUGAUACCGCUCUCUUAGUUUUCAAUCGUGUUUUAAUUUUGUUCUGCUUUGAUUUUCUGUUAGUUUGAUUUUGUGCUGAUUGAAUAAUCCAUGAUUGUGCUGUUAAUGUUAGUUUACUGAUUUUUAGAAUUAAUUUUCAUGUUUGGAUUAGUUAAUUUUUUUAUUAGUCAAAUUCUAAGAAUAUGUUUGGUUAUAGCUGAGUAGGUCAGAUUUUUAACAAAGUUUACUUUACCAAGUUAAUAGGGGUAGGGCUGAGAUUAACUAGUUUUGUAAUUUAGAAACUGAAUUGAGGGUAGUGUAGGUAAUUCAACAAAAAUAAUCCUGCAAAUAACUCAAGUGGAACUCCCUAGAGCCUUCUAGAAAGGGGUUCUAAUUUGAAAUUGAGGCUUUAGAUAGUCUUACUUGGCCAACAAGCUAAUGACUAGGGGACUAACUAACUAAAAUUUGAAAAUUAAAGAGGGUCUAAGCGUGAAAAGUUAAAUUUGAAAGUUACCCUAGGCAUUGCCAAUAAUAGGCAGCAUACCUUGCCUUGCAAAAGAAGUUUUUAGAGGUUCAAAAAUCUACAAUUUGAAAUUAAAAGGGGAGAGCCUAGAGAAAAAUCUGAAAAAGUUUGAAAUCCAAAGUUUGACGUCUAAUACUCUAAAAAUCUAUUCCUGAAGCAGUUAAUGUAGAGAUCUAAAGAGUUCUGAAAUCUUAAAACUUGGGUUUUGCAUCACAUUUGGGGUCAAUUCUGUUGCUAAGAGAUCUGGUCGAAUGUUCUGAAGCUAAUCUCUAGAUUAAAGGGAAAAAAUUAAUCAUAUUUUGCUUUAGAGUCACAUUUGAAGUCCCUGUUGUUGCUGCUCUUCAACUUGCUUUAUUAUUGAGAUCUUAAUCUCUUUUUACUUGAUUUUAAAAACAAUUCCUUCUUUGUUUUGCUGUUGAUUCAAAGUUUGUUGCUGAUCUCUCAUUCUUCUUAUUGUUAUUUGAAUUCCAGGUAUUUUUCAGCUUCAAAUGACUUAUCAAAUUUGAGCUCAAUGUAUGAUUGAAUUGGGAGAAAUAAUGAAGUGCAAGCUGCUUUUAUUUUCAGUAUUUUACCUUAGAUAAAUGCAUUUCACCUCUAUAUUCAUUUGAACAUUGCAUUGUGUAUAGUAACAGGACUGUUUGGACUGCUUUUGACCAAAUUGCUUGAUAUAUAUUAUUAUAUGGUAAUCCGCGGAAUAGUGUUUGAUUUAAUUAGCGUUAGUCUUAUUAUCAUGUCUAGAACUUAAGCUUAGAAUAUGACUUAGUGUAAUCAUGUUAGUUUUAGUCAUGUUAGAAUAUAUUCAAAUCUGAAAGUAGACUAGUUGUUUCAACUUGCUUAACGUGUUAUUUUUUGGAAAUCAGAAGCAAAUAGUAGUAGAUACUUCUAAUGUCUAAUCCACGAUUGAGUUUUUUAAGGGAGUAUUGAUCGACAGAUUUAGUGUAGUAGUUCACCAGAAUGCAAAUAAGUUGAAACAUGCGUGAGAUUUGAAUUUCAAACAGUUGAGAAUUGUCAAAUC